UAUUUUCCUUUUUUGCCAGCAGCCGCGGUAAUACGUAGGGAGCGAGCGUUGUCCGGAAUUACUGGGUGUAAAGGGAGCGUAGGCGGGAUGGCAAGUCAGAUGUGAAAACUAUGGGCUCAACCCAUAGACUGCAUUUGAAACUGUUGUUCUUGAGUGAGGUAGAGGUAAGCGGAAUUCCUGGUGUAGCGGUGAAAUGCGUAGAGAUCAGGAGGAACAUCGGUGGCGAAGGCGGCUUACUGGGCCUUUACUGACGCUGAGGCUCGAAAGCGUGGGGAGCAAACAGG
rnacentral:rRNA from 1 species